rnacentral:rRNA from 1 species
UACGGGGGGGGCAAGCGUUGUUCGGAAUUACUGGGCGUAAAGGGCUCGUAGGCGGCCAACUAAGUCAGACGUGAAAUCCCUCGGCUUAACCGGGGAACUGCGUCUGAUACUGGUUGGCUUGAGUGUGGGAGAGGUGAGUGGAAUUCCCGGUGUAGCGGUGAAAUGCGUAGAGAUCGGGAGGAACACCUGCGGCGAAAGCGGCUCACUGGACCAUAACUGACGCUGAUGCACGAAAGCUAGGGGAGCAAACAGG